CGACAUCAGGGAGCUCCCAUGGAGCAAAACCCUAGUUUCAUCAAAACUACCAAAUUGAAGGUCAUUCCAAGACCCAAAUCGAUGCAUGAACGUGUGGAAACGAUCACCGAGUCAUGGGGAUCACAAGUUUGACUCUUGACAAGCUAGAUGGAGGCUUGGGAGGAAGCGGGUCAAACGGAGCAAGUACGAAAAGAAAACGUUGCUUGGAUGCUAGGUAAAAUUCUUGUACUGGAGGACGAUCAAGCUCAGCGAUGAACCGAACACAUAAAGAACAAAGCUUCCGCGAAUAGUUUCGUAGUCACGUUUUAAACGACGAAUUAAAUUACAAAAUGUUGAAAUGUUUUAUUUAGUAAAAUGUUUUAACAAACUUGCAUUUUUAAGUGUAUGUUUAAUCUUAAAUACACUAUGAUAAUCGCAAUCUUAUUUGAUAAUAGUUUAAAA